rnacentral:rRNA from 1 species
CACGGGCCUAUCAGCUUGUUGGUGGGGUAAUGGCCUACCAAGGCGACGACGGGUAGCCGGCCUGAGAGGGUGGACGGCCACACUGGGACUGAGACACGGCCCAGACUCCUACGGGAGGCAGCAGUGGGGAAUAUUGCACAAUGGGCGCAAGCCUGAUGCAGCGACGCCGCGUGAGGGAUGAAGGCCUUCGGGUUGUAAACCUCUUUCAGUAGGGAAGAAGCGAAAGUGACGGUACCUGCAGAAGAAGCGCCGGCUAACUACGUGCCAGCAGCCGCGGUAAUACGUAGGGCGCAAGCGUUAUCCGGAAUUAUUGGGCGUAAAGAGCUCGUAGGCGGUUUGUCGCGUCUGCCGUGAAAGUCCGGGGCUUAACUCCGGAUCUGCGGUGGGUACGGGCAGACUUGAGUGAUGUAGGGGAGACUGGAAUUCCUGGUGUAGCGGUGAAAUGCGCAGAUAUCAGGAGGAACACCGAUGGCGAAGGCAGGUCUCUGGGCAUUAACUGACGCUGAGGAGCGAAAGCAUGGGGAGCGAACAGGAUUAGAUACCCUGGUAGUCCAUGCCGUAAACGUUGGGCACUAGGUGUGGGGGACAUUCCACGUUUUCCGCGCCGUAGCUAACGCAUUAAGUGCCCCGCCUGGGGAGUACGG